rnacentral:lncRNA from 1 species
CAAGCUGGGCUGCAAAGGGGAGAAGCACCAGAAUCUAGCAGGCUGAGCGCCUGAUUAUUAAUUUAAUGAUUUUUAGCCCAGAUUGAAGAUGCAAAUUCUGGCAAUAAGAAAUAACUUGACAUGGAUAUUAUGAGAUUACCAAAACCUCACAGUAGUAGUAAUAACAAUAAUCAUCUGCUAUUUGAAAAGAUGCUGAAAUCCAUGGAAAUUUUAAAAUAUUAUUCUUAGAAAUCUUUCCCCUAAAUGCUUUGUCUUUCCUGAAAGUGACAGAAAAGGAGAUAGAAAGCGUAAAGAGCUCCACGUAUCCACACUUGUACCUCUACGGUUUUACAUGCGCUCUUGGCCGUCGCCCGGUGUUGGAUGCAACUGGAUACUUCACGUCUAAGGAGAUGGAGAAAUAAAUUGCAUUGCUCUCCCUGCAAGUCUGAUCAAGCUCUGAAAGGUGAGGCAAAGAUGACAGCUUAAAACAUGGAAACUACGGAAAAUGCUGUCCUGAGCACACCAAGGGAAAACAAGGCCUUGGGAAGGUUGAAAGACUUUUUGUAGGACUUUAUUAAGG